GUUUGCUGUGAAUGUUGGAAGUUGGAGCUUUCUACGGUAUUGAAUAGAUAUACUCAGAAGCCUGAGAACUGCAAUUGAGGGUAAAUGUUUACUGCUACCCAGACUUAUUUUCUGCCAUCUCUGAAAUUCCUAACUUGGUUUUAUUUACAUAAAAUCAGAUAUCAUAAAAAUAUUACAAUAGGUAUUUAAAAUAUUGUGCAUUAGAGAGCCAUUAAUAGCCAGAUAAGAACCACAUAGUGACGUAAAAAAGGAGGCUUUCCCGUAAUGUGCUGUUACAAACAUGCAGUCAAAUAGCUUGUGAGGCUACUGAGUCUACUUAUUUCCUUUUGAAACUAUCAUAUAAGGCCACAGCGACUCAAGGCUUAUGCACAGAAUGCUGCCAUGGGCAUACGAUGCUCUGUCCGAGCUUUGUCCUGUGACUCAGUCUCAGAACUUAAUAUGUAUUUGGUAAUGGGCACUAACUCUUGCAAAUGGAUCUGUCCUGUGAAUUAUCCAGUGAUUCUCAACCUGUCGAAAAAGCUUUAUAAAAUAAAUUGUUAGAUAAGUUGGUUGUUUCAGUUUGAUCUGCCAUUGUUUAAAUGCCCUAAGGAACCUAACGUUCUACAGACACCAGGGCUGAAAGUAUUGUCAUGAAUAAGUUUUAAGUGACUCAUAUGUGUCUAUCAUUGGCCAAUUAUAAGAAACUACUUCUUAUGUGCUUGGGCACAGUGAAUCUUAGUUAAAGGACCAUGAGUCUACUGCAAUGAUUAACCGUUCCAAAACAAAUUUCCUGAGGGGCCUGUGAGCCCCAGCGGGAGCGACAUGGCAAUCUCAUUUUAUUGUGAAAUAAUAUCCCAUUAAUUAAGAACUGAAGCAAAAAUCAGUGUACCCAACCAUUUCCAAGCAAAACAUAUUGAAUGAAUCAGUAGCCUAGCUUAUCCAAAAUGCAACACUUGUUUUUAAAAGAUGUUCCUUUUAAAAAGCUGUCAGGAAGUCAAGGCACGAUCUAUGUGAAGAAUGCAGUGGGAGACACAUCAGGAUGUCUGAUUCUCAAGUCGAC
rnacentral:lncRNA from 1 species